rnacentral:tRNA from 1 species
GCCACCGUAGCUCAGAUGGUAGAGCAGCUGAUUCGUAAUCAGCAGGCCCGCGGUUCGAGUCCGCGCGGUGGCUCCA